CCUACGGGGUGCAGCAGUGGGGAAUAUUGCACAAUGGGGGAAACCCUGAUGCAGCAACGCCGCGUGAGUGAAGAAGUAUUUCGGUAUGUAAAGCUCUAUCAGCAGGGAAGAAGAUGACGGUACCUGAGUUAGAAGCCCCGGCCAACUAAGGGUCAGCCGCCGCGGUAAUACGUAGGGGGCAAGAGUUAUUCGGAUUUACUGGGUGUAAAGGGAGCGGAGACGGUGGGGCAAGUCUGAAGUGAAAGCCCGGGGCUUAACCCCGGGACUGCUUUGGAAACUGCCUGACUGGAGUGCUGGAGAGGCAAGCGGAAUUCCUAGUGUAGCGGUGAAAUGCGUAGAUAUUAGGAGGAACACCAG
rnacentral:rRNA from 1 species